CAGGCCUAACACAUGCAAGUCGAACGGAAUUAUAAAAGCUUGCUUUUAUAGUUUAGUGGCGGACGGGUGAGUAACGCGUGAGCAAUCUGCCUUUCAGAGGGGGACAACAGUUAGAAAUGACUGCUAAUACCGCAUAACGUAUAUUAAUCGCAUGGUUGAUAUACCAAAGGAGCAAUCCGCUGAAAGAUGAGCUCGCGUCUGAUUAGCUAGUUGGUGAGGUAAUGGCUCACCAAGGCGACGAUCAGUAGCCGGACUGAGAGGUUGAACGGCCACAUUGGGACUGAGACACGGCCCAGACUCCUACGGGAGGCAGCAGUGAGGAAUAUUGGUCAAUGGACGCAAGUCUGAACCAGCCAUGCCGCGUGCAGGAUGACGGCCCUAUGGGUUGUAAACUGCUUUUGUAUGAGAGUAAACUUAGAUACGUGUAUCUAACUGAAAGUAUCAUACGAAUAAGGAUCGGCUAACUCCGUGCCAGCAGCCGCGGUAAUACGGAGGAUCCAAGCGUUAUCCGGAUUUAUUGGGUUUAAAGGGUGCGUAGGCGGUUUGAUAAGUUAGAGGUGAAAUCCCGUUGCUCAACAACGGAACUGCCUCUGAUACUGUCGAACUAGAGAAUAGUUGCUGUGGGCGGAAUGUGUAGUGUAGCGGUGAAAUGCUUAGAGAUUACACAGAACACCGAUUGCGAAGGCAGCUCACAAAGCUAUUUCUGACGCUGAGGCACGAAAGCGUGGGGAACAAAAAGGAUUAGAUACCCUGGUAGUCCACGCCGUAAACGAUGAUAACUCGUUGCAGGCGAUACACAGUCUGUGACUUAGCGAAAGCGUUAAGUUAUCCACCUGGGGAGUACGUUCGCAAGAAUGAAACUCAAAGGAAUUGACGGGGGCCCGCACAAGCGGAGGAACAUGUGGUUUAAUUCGAUGAUACGCGAGGAACCUUACCCGGGCUUGAAAGUUAGUGAUCGACAUGGAAACAUGUUUUUCUCUUCGGAGCACGAAACUAGGUGCUGCAUGGUUGUCGUCAGCUCCGUGCCGUGAGGUGUCGGGUUAAGUCCCAUAACGAGCGCAACCCCCUACUGUUAGUUGCCAUCGGGUCA
rnacentral:rRNA from 1 species